CUACGGGGGGCUGCAGUGGGGAAUAUUGCACAAUGGACGAAAGUCUGAUGCAGCAACGCCGCGUGGAGGAUGACACAUUUCGGUGCGUAAACUCCUUUUAUAUAGGAAGAUAAUGACGGUACUAUAUGAAUAAGCACCGGCUAACUCCGUGCCAGCAGCCGCGGUGAUACGGAGGGUGCAAGCGUUACUCGGAAUCACUGGGCGUAAAGAGCGUGUAGGCGGGUAGUUAAGUCAGAAGUGUAAUCCAAUAGCUCAACUAUUGAACUGCUUUUGAAACUGAUUACCUAGAAUAUGGGAGAGGUAGAUGGAAUUUCUGGUGUAGGGGUAAAAUCCGUAGAGAUCAGAAGGAAUACCGAUUGCGAAGGCGAUCUACUGGAACAUUAUUGACGCUGAGACGCGAAAGCGUGGGGAGCAAACAGGAUUAGAUACCCGGGUAGUC
rnacentral:rRNA from 1 species